rnacentral:rRNA from 1 species
GUGCCAGCAGCCGCGGUAAUACGGAGGGUGCAAGCGUUAUCCGGAUUCACUGGGUUUAAAGGGAGCGUAGGCGGGCAUUUAAGUCCGUGGUGAAAGCCCUCAGCUCAACUGAGGAACUGCCAUGGAUACUAUUUGUCUUGAAUGUCGUUGAGGUUUGCGGAAUGGGUCAUGUAGCGGUGAAAUGCUUAGAUAUGACCCGGAACACCAAUUGCGAAGGCAGCAGGCUAAACGAAUAUUGACGCUGAGGCUCGAAAGCGUGGGGAUCAAACAGGAUUAGAAACCCGAGUAGUCC